rnacentral:tRNA from 1 species
CGGGGUGUAGCGCAGCUGGUAGCGCACCUGCUUUGGGAGCAGGGGGUCCCAGGUUCGAGUCCUGGUACCCCGACGA